rnacentral:rRNA from 1 species
CCCUUAGAUGUUCUGGGCGGCCCGCGCACUACAUUGGCACUGGCAACAAGAUCCUAGAUCUGGUAUUUCGGGGUAUUCUACCAACUGGUGUCGUGACUGGGAUUAACCCCUGCAAUUAUUGGUUAUGAACGAGGAAUUCCUUGUAAUCACGGUCUAUCAACCCGUGUUGAAUGCGUCCCUGCCCUUUGUACACACCGCCCGUCGCUCCUACCGAUGAAUCGUCCGGUGAAGUUCAUGGAGUCGCGGCUGCUCCAGCUGUUUUCGAAGUGAAAUGGACCUCAUGAUUUAGAGGAAGGAGAAGUCGUAACA